rnacentral:rRNA from 1 species
GACGAACGCUGGCGGCGUGCUUAACACAUGCAAGUCGAACGGAAAGGCCCUGCUUGCAGGGUACUCGAGUGGCGAACGGGUGAGUAACACGUGGGUGAUCUGCCCUGCACUUCGGGAUAAGCCUGGGAAACUGGGUCUAAUACCGGAUAGGAGCCAUUUUUAGUGUGGUGGUUGGAAAGUUUUUUCGGUGUAGGAUGAGCUCGCGGCCUAUCAGCUUGUUGGUGGGGUAAUGGCCUACCAAGGCGGCGACGGGUAGCCGGCCUGAGAGGGUGGACGGCCACAUUGGGACUGGGAUACGGCCCAGACUCCUACGGGAGGCAGCGGUGGGGAAUAUUGCACAAUGGGCGCAAGCCUGAUGCAGCGACGCCGCGUGGGGGAUGAAGGCCUUCGGGUUGUAAACUCCUUUCGCUAGGGACGAAGCUUUUUGUGACGGUACCUAGAGAAGAAGCACCGGCUAACUACGUG